rnacentral:tRNA from 1 species
GGUCGGGUAGCUCAGUUGGGAGAGCGCCGGUCUGAAAAACCGGAGGUCGCCGGUCCGAUCCCGGCCCCGACCACCA